AGUGUGUUCAUCGAUGAUUCGCGAACACGUACCUUCAUCUUGUUCUCCUCAGCUAACGCCGGUGUGUCAGUGUCGGGAGGGUAGGAUACCGUCACGUAGAUGUUAUAUGGCUUUACCUGCAGGACACAACACAGAGCGAGUACACAACAUUGGGUAUGACAUCAGCGUUGAUUCCAUCACACACACACACACACACACACCUCCAUCUGCAGAGCUUCGGCGAGGCCGCGGAGGGCAAAUUUGGAGGCGGAGUACGCCGUGUAGCCGAAGAGUCCGAGCUGCCCGGCCUGAGAACACACGAACACCACGCGGCCCAUCCGCCGCUCCUUCAUGUUGCUGAUCACAGCUCGCGUGGCAUACACACUGCCCAGGUAGUUCACCUCCAUCAGACUCUGACACACACACACACAUUACACCUGACAUUACUAGUAACUGUACUUCUAUAACGCGUUUAUGAUAUUAAAGUGUGAGACGUUAAUUUGACCAUAAAGCUGAUCAAAGGGCAAUAAAAUAUUUGAUAUAUAUAUAUAUAUAUAUAUAUAUAUAUAUAUAUAUAUAUAUAUAUAAAUUUUAAUAAAACAAUACAUGUAAUAAAAAGCUUUGUUUGCAUGAAUUCUUUCAAGGUGGUUUUACAAUAUGCAAUUGAGAGCCAUGUAGCACUGCUACAUCACAGGGAAGGGGGCAGGACUUAGAGGUGUGGUGG